rnacentral:rRNA from 1 species
GACAGAGGUGCCGAGCGUUAGGCGGAAUCACUGGGCUUAAAGCGUGUGUAGGCGGGUCGUUAAGUGUCUUGUGAAAUCCCACCGCUCAACGGUGGAACUGCUGGGCAUACUGGCGAUCUUGAGCCACUUAGGGGCAACCGGAACAAAUGGUGGAGCGGUGAAAUGCGUAGAUAUCAUUUGGAACGCCAAUGGUGAAAACAGGUUGCUGGGAGUGUGCUGACGCUGAGACACGAAAGCCAGGGGAGCGAACGGG